rnacentral:rRNA from 1 species
CCCUUUUCGGGCCGGCUUUACACAUUGCAAGUCGAGGGGUAACGUAGAAAGCUUGCUUUCUGACGACGACCGGCGCACGGGUGCGUAACGCGUAUACAAUCUGCCUCAUACAGGAGAAUAGCCCGGAGAAAUUCGGAUUAAUGCUCCAUGGUAAUGAAAUUCCGCAUGGUUUUUCAUUUAAAGCUCCGGCGGUAUGAGAUGAGUAUGCGUCCUAUUAGUUUGUUGGUGAGGUAACGGCUCACCAAGACUGCGAUAGGUAGGGGGCCUGAGAGGGUGACCCCCCACACUGGUACUGAGACACGGACCAGACUCCUACGGGAGGCAGCAGUGAGGAAUAUUGGUCAAUGGACGAAAGUCUGAACCAGCCAUGCCGCGUGAAGGAUGACUGCCCUAUGGGUUGUAAACUUCUUUUAUAUGGGAAUAAACGCAGGUACGUGUACCUGCCUGAAUGUACCAUACGAAUAAGGAUCGGCUAACUCCGUGCCAGCAGCCGCGGUAAUACGGAGGAUCCAAGCGUUAUCCGGAUUUAUUGGGUUUAAAGGGUGCGUAGGCGGACUAAUAAGUUAGUGGUGAAAGCCCGGGGCUCAACUCCGGAACUGCCAUUGAUACUGUCAGUCUUGAGUCAACUUGAAGUGGGCGGAAUAAGGCAUGUAGCGGUGAAAUGCAUAGAUAUGCCUUAGAACACCGAUUGCGUAGGCAGCUCACUAAAUUUGUACUGACGCUGAGGCACGAAAGCGUGGGGAGCGAACAGGAUUAGAUACCCUGGUAGUCCACGCCGUAAACGAUGAUAACUCGCUGUUGGCGAUAUACUGUCAGCGGCCAAGCGAAAGCAUUAAGUUAUCCACCUGGGGAGUACGCCGGCAACGGUGAAACUCAAAGGAAUUGACGGGGGCCCGCACAAGCGGUGGAGCAUGUGGUUUAAUUCGAUGAUACGCGAGGAACCUUACCAGGCUUAAAUGGGACCGGACAGAUCUAGAAAUAGAUCCUUCUUCGGACUGGUCUCAAGGUGCUGC